CUUCCGCCGUUUUCUUUUUCUCUUGUCUGUUCUCAGGAUUUCUUCACUCUCCAUGGAACAAAUAUCAAAUCACAAUUCCAUGGAUCCGGUGGUUAUUAUAUCUAAAAGAAAAUCAAACAAAGCAUCCACCAAGUUACUUUCUCCCGCGAAAGCUUCAAAUCAGUUGGGUUCUCGGCGUUCAAAGCUAUCGCAAUCAAUAGGCGCAUUUGCAUGGGCAACCGGGUAAAUGAUCUUCCACAGACCUCUACGUCACGAGCAGCACCACAGUCUUCGUUUCCUGUGCAUCUCAAGAAUGAACUUCAAGCUGCCAUAAAUGAUGCCACCAAAGUUCUUGGGCGUCUAACAUCUAUUCUUGAUGAAAUCAAUAAGCACGGGGGAGACAACUAGAGGAUUAAAUCUCUGCUUCAAGCUUAUUUUAUUGGCGCCUUCUUAUUAGUUUUUCUUGUGGCGUUUUAUCUAGGCGGUUUAAUCUCUUAGUUGUUCUUUUUGGUAUGAUUCUUAGUUAGUCAAAAAGGGGGAGAAUGUAGAAUCCAUAUUCUAAGGAUCGUAAUUUGAAUUAUUAUGUCAUCUUAUUAAUUGCAAAUUUGGUUUGGAAAGUCUUGAUAAUGUGGGAAUUUGACUUUCCUUUGUCUGUGUGCUUUUAUUGUCUAACGUUCUUGUGUAAGGUAUUUGAUCUUAUUUCCUUGUUAGAAAAGGAAUGAGAUAUUGCAGGAUUAAUGACAAGAUACGUUGGUGGUGAAUAAAAGGGAGAAGACGCCUCUUCUCAUGAUACGCUUGCUCAUUGCAAAAACAGAGAAAAAUAAAACAGAGUUGAUAAUACAAGUGUUGUUUAGCUGCUAAGUUUUGGAAGAGAUUACCUUGAGAAGAGAUUUCUGUUGGUGUGAAGAGCACAAAGCAAAGACUUCUCCAAGAAGAAGACAGCCAUGAUUAAGGGGGAGUAAACUGAUUUUACUUGUAACCUUAGUUCAUGUUUCUUCGGUAGAUGUAUUAAAACUUGUGUAGAAGUUUUAGUCUAUCGUGUACUUGUCUUCUUGAAGUGAUCUAAUAAACUUGUUUGCAGCCCGAGGACUAGUGGUUGGUUUGAAAGAACCAACCGAUACCUCGUUAAA